GAUGAAGAACGCAGUGAAAUGCGAUAAGUAAUGCGAAUUGCAGAAUUUCCGUGAGUCAUCGAAUCUUUGAACGCACAUUGCGCCCACUGGUAUUCCGGUGGGCAUGCCUGUUCGAGCGUCAUUAUCCUCCCUCAAACCUCGGGUUUGGUGUUGGACCCAAGUUGUGUGAACAACUGGUCUCAAAGACAAUGACGGCGUCCGUGGGACCCUCGGUGCAACGAGCUUUUAAACGAGCACGCGUCGAGUUUCAAGGACCUUCCGGGCCGGUCUCCUUCUUUUAUUUACAAAGGUUGACCUCGGAUCAGGUAGGAAUACCCGCUGAACUUAAGCAUAUCAAUAAGCGGAGGA
rnacentral:misc_RNA from 1 species